CUCACAUCAAUCUUGGAGUGCCCAUAGCAGAAUAAGUGAUCAUACUUCGUGGUUAGGCAAUGUAGCUAGAGUUUGACUCUCCAAAGUUCUUUUAUGAACUGAGAUGGAACUCAGAAAGCAGAUGAAGAUGCUGGCUGCUGAGUUUUCCUGGAGUAGGUUGGGAGGUCAUUUAAGCAGAUAAACCACCCAAGUAGGAAGUCACAGAGGCCUGGAAUGAAACUAAGUCUUCCAGGGAGCACCAUCUUGCUUUGACAAUACUGGAAGUAAACAGAUGAUGAGUUUAAUUGGUCACUGAUUUCAGACUUAAUUCUCAGUAGUAUUAUGCCCCAUAAACCUAUAGUGAGACUACUUCUCUUUCUCUCUCUCUCUCUGUCUAUAUAUAUAUAUAUAUUAUAUAUAUAUACACACAUAUAUAUAUAGUGUUUAUGUAUACAUAUAAACAGAUUUUAAGAUUGGAAGAAUGUUUUCAAAGAUUAGUUUCUGGCUCUGAAUAUUUUAUACAUUUUUUUCUCUCCACCACUACCCACCAAAUACUUCUAGUUUCUGAUGCCAUAAAACAUCUUUAUUUUAUAAUAAGUCCCUUUGCUUUGUAUCUUUGUAUCAUGAGUAGAGUGAGUUGCUACUGGAACAGUAAAAGUAGUUCUGGGAAGCCAUUCCUACAAUGGGAAACAACUCUAUCCACGGAGAAUGAAAAAAACCAGGGCGAGGUAACCGCCCACCCAGGAGCA
rnacentral:lncRNA from 1 species